rnacentral:rRNA from 1 species
CAUUCCUACGGGGGGCUGCAGUGGGGAAUUUUGCGCAAUGGGGGAAACCCUGACGCAGCAACGCCGCGUGGAGGAUGAAGUCCUUCGGGACGUAAACUCCUUUCGAUCGGGACGAUUAUGACGGUACCGGAAGAAGAAGCCCCGGCUAACUUCGUGCCAGCAGCCGCGGUAAUACGAGGGGGGCGAGCGUUGUUCGGAAUUAUUGGGCGUAAAGGGUGCGUAGGCGGUUUGGUAAGUCUUAUGUGAAAUCUAUGGGCUCAACUCAUAGUCUGCAUGAGAAACUGCCGGGCUUGAGUGUGGGAGAGGUGAGUGGAAUUCCUGGUGUAGCGGUGAAAUGCGUAGAUAUCAGGAGGAACACCUGUGGCGAAAGCGGCUCACUGGACCAUAACUGACGCUGAUGCACGAAAGCUAGGGGAGCAAACAGGAUUAGAUACCCUGUAGUC